UCCCUCUGGCAAUGGGCAAGGAGACACCUUGGUGGUGGUGGUGGUCUUACAUCACUCAGAGGCAGAGCAGUUGGCAGACCCUCGUUCAUUCUAGCUUGAUACCUGGCUUGGUGGCCAAAGCUGUUUUAUGAAUAGGACACAGAA